GACGAACGCUGGCGGCGUGCUUAACACAUGCAAGUCGAACGAAGUGGCGAACGGGUGAGUAACGCGUAAUCAACCUGCCCUUCAGCGGGGGACAACAGUUGGAAACGACUGCUAAUACCGCAUACUGAAGGCGGGGCUUGCGUCUGAUUAGCUAGUUGGUGGGGUAAAGGCCUACCAAGGCGACGAUCUGUCGCGGGUCUGCGAGGAUGAUCCGCCAAACUGGGACUGAGACACGGCCCAGACUCCUACGGGAGGCAGCAGUGGGGAAUAUUGGACAAUGGGGGGAACCCUGAUCCAGCCAUGCCGCGUGUGUGAAGAAGGCCUUAUGGUUGUAAAGCACUGUUAAUCGGGACGCGGUACCGGAAUAGAAAGCCACGGCUAACUACGUGCCAGCAGCCGCGGUAAUUC
rnacentral:rRNA from 1 species